rnacentral:misc_RNA from 1 species
GUGAAUCAUCAAAUUUUUGAACGCAAAUUGCACUCUCUGGUAUUCCGGAGAGUAUGCCUGUUUGAGGGUCGGUUUAAAUAAAAAUCGGUGUGGUUGCUGCCUUUCGUGGUGACGCACCGGAUUUGGGUCGUCUUGCUUUCGGUUAAGUGACCUAAAAUUUUGCAUGUUUUUUUUCGAACGUAUUUAAAUGAUUUUACGUACGUUUGCGAUAUGGAUUACUAUGUUUGUUAUUCUUCUU